CCCUAAUCGGCGCUGCCCGGCCCGGCGUCGCGCACCUCCCGCGCUAUCGCUGCGUGCAGCCGGUGCCAGGGCCGUGCCCGGGACACGGGGGAGCCGCUGCCGGGGUCGGGGUGCCCCCGUAGCUCCGCAGCCCAGCUGGCUCCGGAGGCUCCGGGGGCCCUCUGCCCGCUGGGAACCCGUCGCCCAGGGGCCGGGCUCCGUCGGGAGCGGUGGCGGGGCCGGCUGCCCCCCGUUCGGGAGCCCUCGCCAGGACGGCCCCGUUUCCCGCUUUCCCCCGUGUUGCAGAGUCGGGACCGACUGAUGGCUCGGGCGGGAGAUGUGGCCGCUGGCAGAGGUUGGUGCUGUUGGCACUUGGUGGCCUGUGACCAGCAGCGUGGCCUGGCAAGGCUGAGUCACGGGGACUGGCUAUGUGCCACUGUUUGUAGAAGUCGUCCCUUGGACUUUCUACUAGACAUUCCUUUCAAGAAAGUAUCAUUAGUUGUUUUGGCACCCUCCAGUCUUUGCUGUUGCAUCUUACUCAGUUCUUUACAAUUCUCUGUAUUUAUCCACGUAAUGGUGUCAUGUAGAUCCUUUCUACCACACCUUAUUUCCAAGCCUAAUUUAAACACAGCACUUGGGGUAGGCAAAGUCUAAAGGAUUUGAAAUAAGUUUUGUAAGUAACAUUCUCUUAUUCCUGAACAAUUUUCACAGAGGCUAAAUUCUAUGGAAAUUAUUUUUGCAGCAUUCACAGUGGGGAUUCAUCCCCGUGGUCACCAAUCCUCUGGUGAGUACUGUACUCCUGGUGAUCCUCUGGAGCUCAAACUGAACCCCUCUGCUGCUGAUGUGUAAGUCUUUGCAAAUAAAACCUCUCCUGAGGAACACAAACGCUGUGUUCCAGCAGCCCUGCUGUGGAGUGGGCAGUGGUUGGAACAACCUUGUUAAGGAUGUCUCAUGUGUGAAACCGUACGCCCUGUGUGUGGUUUGUAGGUGCACCCGUGUCCUGUACCUGGUAGCUGAGUGUCCCCAGGGGGAUGCUGGUCUGCCAGGCCCCACCUGAUUUCUCCCAGGUCCACAAUCUUCUCACUCACCUACAAAACCUGUGGGCUGCAGGCUGCUCCUGAGCUGAUGCAGGCUCUGCCUGCUACCCACAUAACCCUUACCUUGUGAUGGACACGUGGGCCCUGGUUUUCCCAGAGCAGUACUGCAUUUCCUGGAAACACUGAAAAAGACCUCUCUGAGCACUUACAGCCUCUGUGAGUUCUCUCUCCAUGGCUGCUUAGCCCAUCCAUAGAUGUUUGCUUUGGAAACUAAAUAGCUGGGCUCCCUUGGAAGUUUUUAUGCCAUUUCUCCACUUGUUCUUGUUGUUCUUUUCACUCUCCAUCUGAUUCCCCCCUCCUAGAAGUUCUCUGGGAGCAGAGCUACCACAAUACCCACCCUGAUAUGAGCCAGGCAAAAUCAGUCACCUGCCAGCAAGAGCUGGCAAAGUUCUCUUCAAAACCAGCUGUAAGAAUUGCUGAAAGGCCACAGUGUCACUGCAGAAGCAUUUUAUUUUCUUGUUCUGUGCUCAGGUUUUGGGUAUGAUGUGGGCUUGCUCACCUUCAUCGCCUCUGUAGCAAACCCACAUCUGAAUUAUUUGCCUUACACUUUUUCCCAACAUGCCAGUAGCCAGUGUUAUAAAGACCAGACUGUAAUGUUGGUUUAAAUCCUAUCUGUUUAAUCCCAACUCACUGCUGGAUUGUGGUGUGUGUUGGUUUUUUCAGUGACAGAAUAAAAUUACUCUCCAUUUGUUAAUUCUACACUAGGCUAUUAAUUGCUGCUAUUUCUGAAGAAGGAAAUGUAUCACAUUCCAAGUAACAAAUGAUCUUUAUGCUGUUGAGUUUAAAUAUGGAAUAUGAUUUCUCAUGUCCCAGUGCCCUACUACAUGUAUUAAUUUAAUCUCUCAUUACCAGCCAGCUCUAGGUAGUUAGUCUGUAGUGCAAGGAGUCUGUGGGAGGUAACUGAAAGAAUCAAGUCUGGUUUUCUUAGAAAUGAAUUUGGGUGCAUGGCUACAGACCACUGAGGGAUCUGUGGGUUGGAAAGUUUGAAAAUCCCUGGCCGAGGGUUUAGACACGGAAGUUAAAUAAAUCAUGGGAGGAUGCAGCACUUAAUAUUUGAAUUACAAAGUAUGCAUUACAUUGGGUGGUUGUGCUUCAUGAAUGGUAGUGGUUUAGACUCUCAGGAAAUUAAUGUUUUCCUGAAACAAGCUCUGGUUGGGCAACAUGAAGGCAUGACAAUGCAGCAGGGUCUAGGCAAAAUAUAAUCAUCAGAGUUGGCUGUAUUAAUUUGAUUUUUAAAAUGAUCAAGCAUAUUUUAAAAACAAUUUCCAGAUGAUUUGAUGCUAUCUUUAAAAUGCCAAAAUAAAAAUCAGCUGAAAAGCAUAAAUUUGGUUACUAAACAGUUCACCAUGCAGUAUUUACAUGUAUAACCAGCUUUUGCUGUGCUGAGUAACCCUGCUUGUUCAGUAAAACUGCUCAUACAGGCUGAGGUUAUUUCUGACUUACUUAGAGAGAGCGAGUCAUGAGCUGCUGCUGCUGGAGAUACUUCGUGCAAGUAAAGCAGUGGCUUUGGGUGGGUUUUUUAAUGUACUGUACUUCUUAUAGGCAAAGACUAAACAAGGGCAGUUUAGAUCAGUAACAGAUGCAAUAUCUAAAGUUUGAGUACCCUGAAAGUUUGUCAUUGUCUGAUGACAACAAGAUCUAAUGGUAUAAAAGUAUGUAAAAACUUCCUGGUGUUACUGAAAGGACCUUCUGACCAGCUCUUCUGGUGGUUCUUUAAAGAUGCACAGCCACACCUAAGCUGUGGAGUCUGUCUCAGCAAAGGGAUGUGUCACCUCCUGAGACCUGACUGAGUCCCACUGAGCUUAUUUAGAAAGAGAUUUUACAGAAAAACUGUGCUGUACCUGAGGAACAGAAAAUGCUGUCAGGAGUGGGCUGAGUUUCGAGGUACGUCCUGCACAGAGUUUGCUGCUGGAUCUUGGAAGGCCCGAGCUCUGUAAAUGAAACUGAGCUGCAAUCUGGGAAAUGUGAGGCUCUGAGUAAAAAAGACACUUUGAAAACAUGCUCAGAAUUAGGUGAGAGAAUGUGCCUGUCUGAAAUCUGAAGCUGCAGCUCUUGGGCAGAACGAGCUGCUUGCCUUCAGUCAGAGAUUCUCUGCCUCUCUUAGUGACUACACAUUGAAAUAAGGUUUAUUGAUAUGUCAGAAGUUCUUGUGACUGUGAAAGAGACUUCUGAGAUCAUAGUGCUCUGCCAGGUACUAGCUAGGCAGGGUGAUAAUUGAAUUUUAAGGGUACAAAUCAUACUAAAUGUUGUAUUUUGAUUUCUCAGCACUGCUGCUGAGAAAAUCCCAAGAGAUGUCAUGGGCUAAGGAUACUGCACAUCAUUUCAUUCCUAAGAUGGCAAUGUUCCCUGGGUAUAACAGACAUACCUUACCACUCACUUAAGAUUAAAUUACUUAGCUGGCUCACAAUCCAAUAUAAAACUGUUAAACUGAGAAGAUUCAAAAUCAUUUGGGGAAGAGUUGCUCUUCUGUCUCUCCCAUGCUGCCAUUGUGUGAUAGUAAUAGUAAAUCUAAAGGUAAAGGGAGAAUAAUUACCAAGGGAAGCUAACAAAAUGAAAUAAUCUCAGAGGUCAAAGAACAUAAUUGCACCAAAUGUUUUCUGGCAUUGAACAAAUCUGGAGAAAUUUUUCAAUGUUUACUCAUUUUGAAUGUAUGAAAUUGAGCAAGAUUUUGGGGCCUGAAUUAGUUUUUAGUGCAGUGGUGUACAAAGCAGUCUUUAUUUUGGAUUUGGCAGCAGGAUGAUUUAGGUUGCUUUGGAGGGGUUGAGGAAGGAGAAGAUGACAAAAAUAACCUGGCAUCCAACAGCAUUUAAAUAGAAUAUUGAACUUAUCAGCACCUUGAGUAAUUCUCAAUAAUUCCAUAUGUGAAUACAUAUCCGCAGCAAGACUGCCUAAUGUGUGUUUAUCUUAAUCCAGUAGCAUUAACAGUUCUCAUUCCAGAAUCAGGAUGUGCUCAUAGGGAGUAAAACGAGACAGCCAGGGUAAUUCCACGGACAGGUUUCGCUCCAAGUGAAGCUGUUCUGUGUCUCAGCCCCAGAAGGCAGAGAGAAGCUGCUGUCACAGGCUGCAGGUGACUCAGGCCAGAGCUGUGCCCGGGCUGUGGCACUGGGGUGAGCUGGUUCCUGCCCUGACUCAGCCCUCGGAGCAUCUCCCUCCUGCCAGCACCUUCCUGAGCAGGAGCUGGGUUGUGCAGAGUCACCCCCCUCCUGCCCAGCUCCUGUGUGUGUCUCAGGGAAGUGGAGCCCCAUGGGGACUUUCUCUGCCAAAGGAUCCUCAAAUGCAAAAUACCAGACUUUCAUUUUUUCAAGAAAUAAUCACAGCUGCUGGUGGGUGUAAAUAAAGUAUAAAAAAAAAAAAAAGAAAAGAAAAAAAGUGACACACACAGAGAAAAAAAUGUUCAUUAUUUCCAUCAAAAGUCCUGCCAGAGAUCUUAUCACUAUUGCUAAAGUAGCCUGUGCUGCCAGAACUUAUCAGAUAUCAUCUCCCUUGAAUUGGUGUCAUAAUGCCACUUCAUGUUUCUUUAUAAAGAACAUGUUCCAUGGCAUGCUUAUAUCCCACUCCUAGAUGUGAUGAUUAUUGUCAAAAUAUGCAUAAUUGUCAAAGUUCAGGUCUAUUUCUGUGUUCAUUAUUUGUUGUCAACUCCCUUCUAUUUACCCCAGGAGCAGUGUACCUGAAAGGUUAUGGGGUUUGGGUAAGCACGCAGAACAGGGAGAGCACUUAUCUGCUCCUGUGUGCAGCACUCAGGUUGUGUGUAGGUGUGGUGAAACAACUUUUGGAACCAUAAAUGUAAUCUUGAUAGCACUUGCAUGGAAACAGUGCUAUUGUAUGGUAAUGAAACUGGUGUAAUCAGCCUGGAGUGAAACUGGUGACUAAUUCAAAAAGCAAACUUCCUGUCUGCAGCAAAAGCCCUUCUGUAAAAAAAUGCCUUUUCUUCACUGCCCCGUGGCACUGUGUCACAUUGCAGCGUUAACUCUGCUGCUGGGAGUGCUCAGAUACUACAGAUAAUUAUCGUUUGGAGUUCUCACUCUUGAAUUUGUUUAAUCCCUCAGUCUCCUGACCAGGAGCAAAGAGUUUUACUGCCAGAGUCUUCUAUCAGGGCAGGGAGGAAGGAGUGGUUGAAGCUGGGAUCUCUAGGGGUGAGGUGGGAGAGUUCCAGAGGUCCCAAAGAAGCAGCAAGUGGGUCACCAGGUGAUGGACUUUGCCUCCGUGUGAGGAGCCACUGUAACAAUCUGCCUUUGGUCUGGGUUUGGUGGUGCAGAACUGUGCUGGGGGUAUUGGUAGGUAGUGAGGUCUGGGGAAUUUUCCCCACUCUUCAGUCAGCUGAGAAGGAUACCAAAGACCAGAUUUUGGGAAGGAUGGCAUUGUUCCAGCUCUGAGACAUGGGCUGUGCUGUAUAUAGUGCACAGAAUAGCUGCUGCAGUAUCCAGCAGAAUUCUGCUGCCCUGGGUCCUUGAAAGCUUUCAGGUGUAAAUAUUGAUUGUUCUUUAAAUGUCUGUAGACUUGUAUUUGAGCACAUUAAAGUAAUUUGGGGGUAAACAUAUCAACAAAGGAGAUAAGGAUUUUUUGAGACCCGUGUCAGGCUCAGUCUGAUGUCAGUUGUUUGCAGCCUCAGUAGGCUCCAAGUCUCUUGCAAUCCUUUAACACAAAGCUGUGUUUUCUGAUUGUUUUACAAGGGCUGCUGCUGUUUCUGGCUGGUCAAGUCUGAAGGGAUCAUUGUGACUGACCACUGAUUGUGUCACCAGCCUGAGGACUGUUUCAUCUUCCAGGCCUUCAUCUGCUGGGCCAGAUUAAGGUGAACGUGGGAGCAAACGGAGUCUUGCAACACGUGGCCCUGCAGAUAACCCCACCCAGCCCGGCAGGGGCCAGCGGGCGCAAACAGCGCUAUUGACAGACGAGCUCUGAGAAUGAGCAGAUAAGGCUCCGUGAUGUUGAUACCGCUUGAUCUGUGAGCCGUGUUCGAUAUUGCCAGCGGGGCAGUCAGGAAUGCUGAUGUGACCACAAGCCCUUGGAGGAUUUGUGUGAAGGCUGGUUAUUGUCACAGCCUGUCAGGACACAGCCGGCUCCCCAAGGGCGGUGGCCCUCGGGCUCCUUCCCCCGCUGGGAACCCCCUGCUCGCCUUCCUGGCGGCCUUUCCGCGUGCCACAGUCCGCAGCUGCAGCAAUGGAUAUGAAAUAUUAACACUCACUGAAUGGAGAUGCAUUUCCAUUUCUGUGUGCUUUAUUUUGUCGUAAAUAGUUCCGCUAAGAGGACACCACUGUGCCCCGGUGUAGUGAGCUCCACUGGUGGCACCGUGCUGCUCCCGGUAAAACACAGCCCAAAACAGUCCUGUCGUGUGAGAAAUGUUGUCUUGUCACGUACCAGAAAAAACGGUAAAAGUGACUUCAAACAUGAAUUGAUUCUGUUUGUGGUCCAUCACAAGGCUGAGGGAUAUGCAGCAGACUUCAGAGACAGGUCCCUCAGGUUGAGUGGACUGAGGCUGACCUGGCAAUCAUGGCUGGAUGGAAGCAGAUUAAUGUGGAAUCUGAUCUGUGGAGCAGAUCCACAGUGACUGGGCAGGAAAACACAAGUUACUUUAUUUACAAUAAGCACAUUUCCCAGGACAGAGUUGAAUUCAACUUGUUUGUCUCACUUGGAAACAGCCAACAAGAUCCCUGAUCCUAGGACCUGUUCCAACUAAUCCUGCUAAUGCUGCUGUUCAUUUUAUUCUUGACUGCUCAAGCAGAGGUGAACUUUGAGGCUCUCUCAGUAUCACUGAGACAGAUGUGGCAUUUUAACGCUGUCAGCAAAACAAAAUGUCAGGAUGGUCAGAGUUUCAGUUUUCCUCCUUGAAGGAUUUUUGCCUGGUUUUCCCCCAGCAGCAAAGCCUGCAGGCUGCUUCCCCUGCCAGCAGAUCCUUUCUGGGUGCUGGUGAACUAAAGUUAAAACUCGAUGCACCGUCACAGAUGGCAUCCAGGCACAAAUGUCUGUCAGAAACCAGUUUAUCAAAAUCACUCAAAAUUCUAAUUCUGUUCUCCAGAGUGCUGACAGCAAACUUGAUAGCAUCAGCAAAUUUUGGGUUUGCUCUCUGGUUUUCAAGGCAUUAAUACAAAUACAAGUCAUAGACAAAGCUCUGGUAUGUCUUCCAGUCUCAUGGCAAACUAUUGACACAUCAGAAGUUUUUUAACAGGUUAUUUAUCUUCUAGAUGCUUUCCCAGACUGUUUAAUGAAGUGCUGUAGUGUUCAGCCAGGUUUGUGGGCUCUGAGGUGACUGACUAAUGCAAAUAGAUGUCUAAGAGUAGGGUUUGAUUUCAGUGUUAACAAGUGCCUUGGAACCUGUCUUUGUUCAAUAAACAACAUAUUUCAUAGUUUACAUCAGAUUGAAUCCUUCUGCACAUAUAAACAAAUACAUUAAUGGAAUAAGAAAGUAAACUCUGUGACGCUCCUGGCUGCAGUGACUAAUCAAUUAAAAAGUCUUUUUAUUGUUGACUAUUUAAAUUAAAGCACCCAGCCCUGUAGUGCAUGGCACCUAAACCAAGAGCAGUUUAGGGUCUGCACAGCCCGGAGAAGUGUUUGGAAGAGCUUUGGGAUCUCGUGAUUCCUGGGAACUGGAAGGAAUGUGUCAGUUCUCUGUGUCGUGACCUCAGUCUGCACUAUCAUUGCUUAAAUAAUGAUUUUAAAGCUCCUUUUAGUCUUCCUGAUGACAGUCUCUGCUAUGAAAAGACUCAGGGGCUGAGCAGGCAGGGUCUCUGUCCUUUGGGGAGGGGGCUGUCUGCUGUUCCUGACAAGCUUCCAGCUGGCUGGGGAAGGCUUGGCACACAGGGACACGGGAGCGUGUGGGAUCUGCUCUGUCUGCCGGGUUCACACCUGUGUCAGUACCUGGCAGCUAUAAAUACCCCCAGAGCGUGAGUCAUGCCUCGUGUGGCACCGAAAGCCUUUCCUGCCUCUCCAGGGAGUGGAGGCAACGGGAGAGCACGUCAGAGCUGGGACAUUUUACAAGGUGUGGUGCUGAUUCAGGACAGCUGCAGCCAAAUCUCACCAUUUUCCUGACCAAUAAACAGAAUGAACCCGUAGCAACGCAACAAAACCCCACGACUUAAACUGCGCUGAGUGUCCUUCUGCCCUCCCAGGAGAACACCGAGCUCCAAAGCCUGCAUCCACCUCGGGAGGAUGCAGCUGGGAGCUGUCGGGGUUGGGCACCACCACAGGCAGACAGCUGCUUGAGAGGAUGUCCCAGCACUCUGAUGAACGUGCCCUGUGGCUUUGGAUAGCCCUGGCUGGGAAAAAGGAGUAAAAGUCACCUGGAACAUUAAAGACUCCAAUAAAUGGUAGUGUUGCCUCUGUAUUGUAGCUGUACCAGGAGUCUGCAAACAGACAGCCUGUGUUCUUACUACAGUUACUUCACUUUUAAAAUAUCACGCUGAUAGCAAAAGUACAAUUUCAAAGUAAAGUUUGGUGUAGAUGAAGACCAAGCCACCGUUCCUACUCCUACUUACCGUAUGGAGAAGCCACUGACUGUUACAGCUCUGCCAAUAACUGAGCUCAUAGCACAAUGAAACUCUGUAAAUAGUAUUUAAGCGUUGACAGUAUUUAAAUACUUAACUCACCGAGCCUGGUGUGAGUACACUUUCUCAGCAUUAGGAAAUCUAUUGCUUAAUUAAUGUUUUAUGGCAGUUUGCAUAUAUAAAGCACUGUAUAUGAAUGCUGA